rnacentral:rRNA from 1 species
UCGCCUGUUUAUCAAAAACAUAGCCAUUAGUAAUUAUUAUUGGUUAUUUYUGCUCAAUGAAAGUUAAAUAGCCGCAGUACCCUGACUGUGCAAAGGUAGCAUAAUAAAUUGGCUUAUAAUUAAAGUCUAGUAUGAACGAAAUAAUGGAAAAUAACUGUGUCUUGGACAUUGAGUGAAAUUACUUAACAUGUGAAAAUUCAUGUGGUUAAAUAAUAGACGAGAAGACCCUAGAAAUUUUAAGAACUUGCUCACUUGGUUUUUGUUGGGGCAACAGUGUAACAAGUAACUUACAUUUAUAACAAGAAAUGCAAUUGAUAGAGCAAAUUACUCUAGGGAUAACAGCGUA